CCCUCUCAACUCUAAAACUCUUGUAGUUUAAAUCUAAUCUAAACUUUACAAACGGCACUUCCUGCGUGUCCAUGCCCGUGGGCUUGGUCUUGUCAUAGUGCUGACAUUUGUGGUUCCUUGACUUUCGUUCUCUGCCAGUGACGUGUCCAUUCGGCGCCAGCAACCCACCCAUAGGUUGCAUAAUGGCAAAGAUGGGCAAAUACGGUCUCGGCUUCAAAUGGGCCCCAGAAUUUCCAUGGAUGCUUCCGAACGCAUCGGAGAAGUUGG
rfam:Rat coronavirus Parker, complete genome